rnacentral:ncRNA from 1 species
AGGCGUUCUCAGGGCGGGGUGCAAUUCCCGACCGGCGGUCACAGCCCGCGAGCGCCAUCCGGUGGGUGGGUCAGCAGAUCCGGUGGAAUUCCGGGGCCGACGGUAUAGUCCGGAUGGUAGAGAACGAGA